GUCGAGCAGCCUACUUGCCUGGUGGCAGCGGCGGACGGGUGAGUAAUGCAGAAUCUGCCUAAUGGGGGAUAACUCCGGGCCUACCUACUCCUAGGGGAUCUUCGGACCUCACGCUUUAAUAAGUCGAUGGUGAGGUAAUGGCUCGGACGAUCCUCGGAAGGAUGAUCUGACUGAACCGCCAACGGGAGGCAGCAGUGGGGAAUAUUGGACAAUGGGCGAAAGCCUGAUCCAGCCAUGCCGCGUGUGUGAAGAAGGUCUUCGGAUUGUAAAGCACUUUAAGUUGGGAGGAAGGGCAGUUACCUAAUACGUGAUUGUUUUGACGUUACCGACAGAAUAAGCACCGGCUAACUCUGUGCCAGCAGCCGCGGUAAUACAGAGGGUGCAAGCGUUAAUCGGAAUUACUGGGCGUAAAGCGCGCGUAGGUGGUUUGUUAAGUUGGAUGUGAAAGCCCCGGGCUCAACCUGGGAACUGCAUCCAAAACUGGCAAGCUAGAGUAUGGUAGAGGGUGGUGGAAUUUCCUGUGUAGCGGUGAAAUGCGUAGAUAUAGGAAGGAACACCAGUGGCGAAGCGACCACCUGGACUGAUACUGACACUGAGUGCGAAAGCGUGGGGAGCAAACAGGAUUAGAUACCCUGGUAGUCCACGCCGUAAACGAUGUCAACUAGCCUUGGGAGCCUUGAGCUCUUAGUGGCGCACUACGCAUUAAGUUGACGCCUGGGGAGUACGCGCAAGGUUAAAACUCAAAUGAAUUGACGGGGCCCGCACAAGCGGUGGACAUGUGGUUUAAUUCGAAGCAACGCGAAAAUUACCUUGACUCCAUGAUUUCUAGAAUAGAUGGGCCUCGGAUUGAGCUGCAUGGUUCGCAGCUCGCGGUGGAUCCAACGCACCCGGGUGGGGAUCGG
rnacentral:rRNA from 1 species